UACGAAGGGGGCUAGCGUUGCUCGGAAUCACUGGGCGUAAAGCGCACGUAGGCGGAUUGUUAAGUCAGGGGUGAAAUCCUGGAGCUCAACUCCAGAACUGCCUUUGAUACUGGCGAUCUUGAGUCCGGGAGAGGUGAGUGGAACUGCGAGUGUAGAGGUGAAAUUCGUAGAUAUUCGCAAGAACACCAGUGGCGAAGGCGGCUCACUGGCCCGAUACUGACACUGAGGCACGAAAGCGUGGGGAGCAAACAGG
rnacentral:rRNA from 1 species